UAAAGAUAAUUUAGGAUGCAGCAGUUCUAUAAUUGAGUCUGUUCGACUCUUGAAUCUUUACAUGAUCUGAGUUCAGGCCGGCGUGAGCCAGGUUGGUUUCUAUCUGCAAUUUAAUUUUAUAAUUUAGUACGAAAGGACCUAUUAUAAGUAAUAAUUAUUUAGUUUUGAAUUCUAUUAAACUAUUUUGGCAGAUUAGUGCGAUAAA
rnacentral:rRNA from 1 species